rnacentral:rRNA from 1 species
GAUGAACGCUGGCGGCGUGCUUAACACAUGCAAGUCGAACGGAAAGGCCCUGCUUUUGUGCGGUGCUCGAGUGGCGAACGGGUGAGUAACACGUGAGUAACCUGCCCUUGACUUUGGGAUAACUUCAGGAAACUGGGGCUAAUAUCGGAUAGGAGCUCCUGUUGCAUGGUGGGGGUUGGAAAGUUUCGGCGGUUGGGGAUGGACUCGCGGCUUAUCAGCUUGUUGGUGGGGUAGUGGCUUACCCAGGCUUUGACGGGUAGCCGGCCUGAGAGGGUGACCGGCCACAAUGGGACUGAGAUACGGCCCAGACUCCUACGGGAGGCAGAAGGGGCAAAUAUUGCACAAUGGGCGGAAGCCUGAUGCAGCAACGCCGCGUGCGGGAUGACGGCCUUCGGGUUGUAAACCGCUUUCGCCUGUGACGAAGCGUGAGUGACGGUAAUGAGUAAAGAAGCACCGGCUAACUACGUG